CUAAGUGUUCGGGGUUUCCUCGGUACUGAAGUUAACACAUUAAGUACUCCGCCUGAGUAGUACGUACGCAAGUAUGAAACUUAAAGGAAUUGACGGGAUCCCGCACAAGCGGUGGAUCAUGUUGUUUAAUUCGAAGAUACACGAAAAACCUUACCAGGUCUUGACAUUAUCCUGCGAAGCUAUAGAAAUAUAGGGGAGGUUAUCAGGAUAACAGGUGGUGCAUGGUUGUCGUCAGCUCGUGUCGUGAGAUGUUAGGUUAAGUCCUAAAACGAGCGCAACCCUUGUCGUUAGUUACCAGCACGUUAUGGUGGGGACUUUAGCGAGACUGCCAAUGAAAAAAUUGGAGGAAGGUGAGGAUUACGUCAAAUCAUCAUGCCCCUUAUGAUCUGGGCUACAAACGUGAUACAAUGGCUAUUACAAAGAGCAGCUGAAACGUGAGUUGUUAGCUAAUCUCAAAAAAAUAGUCUCAGUUCGGAUUGAAGUCUGCAACUCGACUUCAUGAAGUUGGAAUCGCUAGUAAUCGCGAAUCAGCAUGUCGCGGUGAAUACGUUCUCGGGGUUUGUACACACCGCCCGUCAAACCAUGAAAGUUGACAAUACCCAAAACCAGUCGCUUAACUACUUCGGUAGAGGGAGCUGUCUAAGGUAGGGUCGAUGAUUGGGGUUAAGUCGUAACAAGGUAUCCCUACCGGAAGGUGGGGAUGGAUCACCUCCUUUCUAAGGAAAUGUCGUAUCAUGAUCAUCUUCAGUUUUGAAAGACUUAGAGUAGAUAAGUUUUUCUUUUGGCGUAGAGGAAGGGCCUAUAGCUCAGUUGGUAGAGCACACGCUUGAUAAGCGUGCGGUCAAUGGUUCAAGUCCAUUUAGGCCCACCAUACCACAUUCCUCCUUAUUCAA
rnacentral:rRNA from 1 species